CAAAAACUAAACAGGAUCACAUUCUAAAGGUUCAGUGCAUUCAGCAGCUAUAUAGUUUUGCUGCUUACUCAUCUUUAAGUUGACUUUCAAAAAAUAACACCCUAGCUCAUCAAAAUAUACAUUUUUCAUUUGCUUUAAAUUAAAAUAACAAUAAAAAAACAUUUAAAAGAAUUCACAAUCAAUAGCAUGACUAAGUUUCAGGAUCAUCUACUGCAUAUAAUUUAAAGGUUCCAGAUGCCAAUAUGCACCACGUGGCAGGCCUAUAUGCUUCAUGUAGCAUGUACAUUUAGAAUAAUCUUGAUGUUCAGACUUCAGUUUGCUUCUUCCAAAUAGUGUAGAACACCCACAAUUCCAUGUAGGAGGGAACGCACACAAUUUCUUUUGAAAACUCCACAGGACAAUAAAGCCUACUAAGUUGUUCUUCAUACAGAGUCAAGGCAUCAGUCAGAUUGAUACAGUUUCCCUGUGUGAAAUACUUUCCAUCUUGCUUCAGGACUUUCAUUGAGAGGUCAAGAAUCAACCGCAGAAAUUCCCACGUAGAAUCUUCUUCUGGAGAUGUGGAGAUUGGAACAGCUGUCAGAUCAUUAAUUACAUAAUCAAACAUCCUUCCUUCUUUGGCAUACCUCUUCAGUACAGGAAUACAGUCUUCAAUUAGAACCUGAUAGCACUCUCCUUUCAGAUUGUCUAAGACAUCUCCGCAUGUUUUACGCAUGUACUUUUUACACCCGUCGAUCACCAUUUGGUCAAUCUCUACCAUAGUAACCAUCUUUGGCUUCAGUUUGACUAUCUCAUACAGAAUACCCCCAUCACCACCUCCAAGGAUCAGCACUUCUUUGCCAGUGUAGUCUUCCUUUCCGCUGCCCAUUAUGGCUCGAGUAUAUGCCAGGUCACUUUCUGCCAGAUUAACAUCCCCACUGAGAAUAAGAAUAUUCCCAAACUGUUUUGAAUGCAGAAUUUUAAUGUUCUGAAAAGGUGAAUCUUCAUCAUAAACAACUUCAUCUAUGUCGUAUUCUACCAAGCGCCCAUCAGCCGUGGGCCAGUAUCUAUCGAUGACACCUCCUCUC
rnacentral:lncRNA from 1 species